GUUAUAUUAGUUUAUAAAGAACAAUUGUAUUGCAAACAGGAAGGGGAUAAAUAUUUCCACGUAACA
rnacentral:tRNA from 1 species